rnacentral:rRNA from 1 species
CACGUAGGCACCAAGCGUUGUCCGGAUUUAUUGGGCGUAAAGAGCUCGUAGGCGGUUCAGUAAGUCGGGGUGUGAAAACUUUGGGCUUAACCCAAAGCGUGCAUCCGAUACUGCUGUGACUUGAGUUCGGUAGGGGAGUGGGGAAUUCCUAGUGUAGCGGUGAAAUGCGCAGAUAUUAGGAGGAACACCGGUGGCGAAGGCGCCACUCUGGGCCGAAACUGACGCUGAGGAGCGAAAGCAUGGGUAGCAAACAGG